UCCCGGCGGCCCUUUCGCUAACGGCCUAGACUUCCGGAGCGACGUGAGGUCCCUACGUAAACAUCAGGCCGGGGCUGGACGCUCCAGGCCAGUGAGCGGCAACAACUGCUAGGCGGAGACCGUCCUGUGAAGAAAGAUCCAAGAAAGGCUCGGGACCGGCGGGAGAUAGUUCACUGACAGGAAUCUGUCCCACUGCUGCAACCAAACCAGAUGCCUUCUUCCACUGCACCAGACCAAGGAGAUGACCUGGAGGCCUGUGUUUUAAGAUUUUCUGACCUGGAUUUGAAAGACUCAAGUCUUAUCAAUCCCAGUAACAGUCUCAAAGCAGAACUAGAUGUCAGUACAAAGAAGAAAUACUCAUUUGCAAAGAAAAAGGCAUUUGCCCUUUUUGUCAAAACUAAAGAAGUUCCAGCACCUCCUUUUGAAUGUAAAGAGAAAUGGUGGAAAUGCUGUCAGCAGCUGUUCAUGAGCCAGACCAGCAUCCAUAGACAUGUGGCAACACAGCAUGCUGAUGAGAUUUGCCAUGAGACUGCUUCUGUUUUAAAGCAGCUGGCUGUAACAUUGAGCACCUCAAAGAGUCUUAAGUCUGCAGACAAAAGGAACCCUCUAAAAGAGGACCUUACUCACAACCAUGAAGUGUCUGCUUGGCUUCCUGAUACAAGCUGCUUUAGCCCUGAUGAGCUGAUAAGUGGCCAGGGCAGCGAUGAAGGGGAGGUGCUGCUUUAUUACUGCUACUGUGACCUGGAGGAUCCUGACCGGAUCUGUGCCUGGCAGACAGCUCUGUGUCAGCUCCUGCACCUCACAGGCAAGGUUCGGAUUGCUACAGAAGGAAUCAAUGGGACCGUGGGUGGAAGCAAAUUGGCCACCAGGCUCUAUGUGGAAGUCAUGCUUUCUUGCCCGUUGUUUAAGAAUUACCUGUGUAAGGACGAUUUUAAGACCAGCAGAGGAGGAGCUUGCUGUUUUCCAGAAUUGCGUGUUGGUGUAUUUGAAGAAAUUGUACCCAUGGGGAUCAGUCCUAAUAAGCUCUCCUAUAAGAAGUCUGGAAUUCAUUUAUCCCCAGGUGAAUUUCAUAAAGAAGUAGAAAAGUUUUUGUCUUGGGCAAAUCAAGAACAAAGUGAUACUGUCCUACUGGACUGUAGAAACUUCUAUGAAAGCAAAAUAGGACGAUUCCAGGGCUGCUUAGCCCCGGACAUCAGGAAAUUCAGUUAUUUCCCUAGCUACGUUGACAAAAAUCUAGAACUUUUCAAAGAGAAGAGGGUGCUGAUGUACUGCACUGGGGGUAUCCGUUGUGAGCGGGGUUCAGCCUACCUCAAAGCCAAGGGAGUGUGCAAAGAAGUGUUCCAGCUCAAGGGUGGCAUCCACAAGUACCUGGAAGAGUUUCCUGAUGGUUUUUACAGAGGGAAGUUAUUUGUUUUUGAUGAGCGUUAUGCCUUAUCCUACAACAGUGACGUAGUGUCAGAGUGUUCGUACUGUGGGGCUCCCUGGGACCAGUAUAAACUCUGCUCAACCCCCCAGUGCCGCCAGCUUGUCUUGACCUGCCCCGCCUGCCGAGGACAAGGAUUCACAGCUUGUUGUGUCACAUGUCAAGACAAAGGGAGCAGACAGGCUGCAAGCCCAGCCCAGAGCAGCUUUAAAGAGGAAUGCGAGUGUACGGCCCGCCGGCCGCGCGUGCCCAGGGAGCUCUCGCAGCCGGAGCGGCUCCCCGGGGGCCCGGGCCGGGUGUUGGUGGAGAGGGGCCACUCUUAGUCAAACUCGGCCGUGUUGCUUAUUGCAACUACCACAGACUGGUUUCUUGUCAGAGCCGGAAGGAAUCUUGAGUCACCUGGACCAACCUCCAUCCUCCUUGAGCGACCUCCGCCACUUCCCGCCAAGCUUUACACCUCCAUUCUGUCUCUGGGGAGCAUUUUAUAUUCCUUUAUAUUCAACAGCAUUUACUGAGUGCUACGAUGUGCCAAGGACCAGAAAUAAACGACACAGCUUAACAGGAGACCAAGAUACACCUACAUGAAGUUUGAUAAAAUAUCCCAAGUACCCUGGUCAAUCUCUAGCAUGAGAGGCACAGUGACCGGUCAGAUCUUCUGGGGAUGGCAGGUGACGUACUGGCUGAAUCUUAAAUGAUAAAGGGAUGAAUGGUGGGAAAGUACUGAGAACAUUAGGAGGCCCCUGAAGGGAGGGUUUUGCCUGUGUCACUAGGAAGCACUCAAGCUACCUGGACCAGUUGGUACUAAUAUGGCAAGAAAAUGGCUUGUCGGGGUGUCAAGAGAUGAGUUUGACAGGGCCUUGCCCGGAGAGGAGGAGGACAGCACAGUUUCCGGGACCAGGCUGCUGGUUCCAGUCCCACUCUGCCCACUGACAGUGGGUAACCUUACCUACUUCUCAAGGCCUCUGUUUCCUUCCUGUAGAAUGAGGAUAAUAAUGGCACCUGCCUCACCCAGUCGCUGGGAACAUCACAGGAGUACAGCUGAAGUGUUUAGCGCAGUGCCUGGCACACAGGAAGCGCCAUGCAAGUAUCCGCUAUGAUUACUAAGGGACUGAUAAGCCAUGUCAAGGAGUCUCACCUGACAGCAGUGGGAAUACAGAAAGGGUUCUAAGCAGAGUGGUGAGGCAAGCUUUGGGUUGAGCGCUGUGAGAGAUGCCCACCCCUGGAGGAGCUGGAGGACGCUGGGUGUUGCAGGACGCCAGGCUGAGGGCUGGGCAAGAGGCAGAGCAAGGCGGAUGGUGAGGAGGUGGCUGGCUGGGCUGGGGGCAGCGCAUAGAGAGAGGUGAAGAUUUGAAGAUUGGCCUGAAUGACCGUGAGGAAAGUAGUGCCCUUUCCCAAGAUGGUGUUCAGGGGAGAUGAUGAAACUGAUUUAGGGCGUGUGUGCUGUGUCUGGGGUGCCUGUUAGAAAGCUCUACUCUGAGAACGUAGUAAAAGAGUGACUUUCCCAGGAUGGGAUGUCUUCUGCUUUUAAACAGGUUCCUGCCUCCUCUCCCCACCCCAACACAGAGCACUGUCUCAACCUGGAGGCAGCCAUUCAGAUUUCAUUAAGUGGAGGGAGCUUCAGUGGCAGGUUUACAGGACCCGAGCAUCAGCCUGGCUCUCAGCUAUAAAUAGUGUGGAAACAGGAGUCAUCUGAGGUAUCACUGUGGGAAAACAGAGAUGGGGAUCCUCGUCUCCUCCCUGACACCCCCUCACCCUGGUGCCCUGCUCUCCCCCACAGAACUCUCUGUUAAGAGCCCAGUGCACAGGGUGGAAAGGACCAAAGACGCACCUGUCAGGAUGGCCCUGGGCAGGCCAUCUGUCUGCAGAGGCACUAGCUGACCCACAGCCUUGAAGACUAAAUGUCUCCCAAGGAGGAGCCCACCUGCCUCUCAGGCAGGCAAAGCCCAGGCACCAGCACAGAGGCGGGCUGGAGUGAGGAGGAAACCAGAGAAGCCCGUUCUGCUCCACACAGAGCUUGCUUCCUGCUGCCGGCCUGCAGCAGCGGUCACUGGAACAACCCUGGAGGCUGGGCAGGGGCUGGCAGGAGGCUUUUGUGACAAACAUACUCAGCUGGCAAACAUGGAAACCUGCCUGCUUUAUCAGAGCAUCAAGGGCAGGAUGAAAAUAUGGUGCUGGGGUAAAAAGUCAGGAUUUCUCUUUUGCAGGAGGACGCUGAAGCACUAUCAGAAGCGUUUCUGUCACAAAAAUUAGCAGGACACUUCAGAUAAACCAGGACACAUGGUGUGGCUUCUUGUUGUCGUUUGUUUGAUGGAUGGACUUUUUUGGACCAGCAGCUCUAGAAAAAAGUGGCACUUGGAGGAAGCAGUGAGUGUGCAGCCUCUGGGCUAUGAUUCCUUAAGAGCAGGAACCUAUACUUGCAACCCAGGGCCCUCCAGGACUUUGACAGAUGUUUGUUGAACUAACUCAAUCUAAAGCGUGUGUGUGCAUGUGUAGCUCUGUGGUUAACCACACAGAGGUUCUGAGAGUACCUGCCUUGUGCACACACACCUACACACCCAUCCCCAUUCUUCUAGGCUUUCCUAGAAGAAUGAGGAUUCACCUGGCCUCAGAUUCAUCAGCAGGAAGUGACAUACUUGAACCCUGAGAUAUGCUUUAGUAUUAAGCUCCUUGCAUUUUACUGAGUGUUACAAACAAACAAACAAAAAACAUAUUUAGAGCAGGUUUGAAUUUGAUGAAAAACUCACUGAAGACACUGUCCUUUGGAAACAUAGUUAUUUCAUAAUUCAACCCCAGAAAGAAGAUUUCUUCUUUUAAAAAAAAAACCAUUAUGCUUCCUUCUCUUCUAAGAAUAACGUAAACUGCUUUGUCUUCCUCCCACCUUGAUUCUAGGAUACUCACAGCUGAAUGUAAUGAUCAAUUAGGUUAACAGACCUACUCCUGUUUUUGUUUUUUCUCUUAUUUUCCUACAGCCUUAUCAGACAUACACCUCUUCGGACACAAGUUCUUUUGGCAGCCAGCAGGAAUACAUAUAACAAACUAUCCCUAGAGCCUGACAACCAUUGGCAUCUGGAAGGGCUGGCUCUUUGAUCAAGAAAAGAACAACAGUCACCUCUCCUUCGUUCGUGCAGCACCUAAACCUCCUCUACAGGCAGAAAUGCCGAGUGGUGGGCGGGGAUUUUAACACCUCCCCGCCCCGCCCACUCAGAGCGCAGGGAAUUGGAAGUUUGGAGAAGGCGAAGGGUCACGCAGCCAGGAGCAGCGAACGAGCUGGGAUUCAAACCCAGGGCCGCUGGACUCCAGGGACAGAUCUUCCCACUGCCCCACAGCCGCCUUCCUAGAAUACUUGAGCAGGAAGGACUUUCAUAUCAUCUCGUCUCAAGGAGAUUUAAAAAUCCUUCCGCCCAGUCUAACCCCCCAUGCUAAUUAAAUCGGAAUUGCUGGUUGCGGUCCUCAGGUGUCUGUGGUUUUGAAAACUCCCCAGGUGAUUCCAAUACACAGCCAGGUUUGCUCACCAGUCAUUCUGACUCAUUUCUAUAAAUGAAGAAACGGAGGCCCAGAGAGGAAAGAGGAUGUGCCCAACUCACACAGUAACAAGGGACUGCCAGAGUUAGCCUCCUAAAGCCUCACUCUGAUCAUGUUAGUGCCCUGUGGCCAGUUCUACAGUGAUCAUCUGACAGAGGUGGAAAGAAAGGAAAGGAAGACGUGAGCAUACACAGUGUUGGGAAGGAUAUGAUAAGGACAUUCAUCAGUCUCAUUUAUAAUAGAGGGAAUAAAAGGGAAACAAACAUUCAGCAAGAGGGAGUUGCUCAAAUAAAUGAUGGUUCAGCUUUACAGUAGAACACAGGCAGCUGUACAAUGAUGAUGCGAAUCUUUGGUCCCAGGCCUGGAAAGAUGGCCAUGAAACCAUAUUGAGUAGACAAAGCCUAGUGACAAAAGGGGUCAUAUUUAUGUAGUUACCUACAUUUCCCAUACACAUACACGUGCACUGAAAAGGCCUGGGAGCAUACUGGUGGUGGUGGGAUUUUGUUUUCAUCUUUAUAUCUUAUUGUAUUGAGUUUUCUGUUACCAUGUCUAAUAAGAUAAACAAAUAAACAUAAUCUUAAAGAGAUUUGAAAAGACAUAGAAGGCGGGCUAACAUCAUACUUAAUGAUUAAAGACCUUCUCCCCACCCAGAGCAGGAACAAGACAAGGGUGUCCACUUUCACCAGCAUUGCUGUGGAGGUUGUAGCCAGGACGACUAAACGAAGAAGAGAAAUAAAAGGCAUCCAUAUUGGAAAGGAAGAAGAAAAACUACUUCUACUUUCAGAUGACACAAUACUGUAUCUCAAACAUCCUAAGGAGUCCACGGAAAACUAUUAGAGCUAAUAAACGAGUUCAGCAAGGUCGCAGAGUACAAGAUCAAUACCCAAAACCCAGCUGUGUUUCUAUGCACUAGCAAUGAGCAGCCCAAAAAUGAAAUUAAGACAAUUCCAUUUACAAUAACAUAAAAAUACUUAGGAAUAAAUUUAAUAAAAGAAUUAAAGACUUACACUCUGAAAACUAUAAAAUAGCAUUGUAUAUUAAAGAAGAUUUGAAUAAAUGUAAAAACAUCCCAUGUUUUUGGAUCAGAAGUCUUAAUAUUGCUCAGAUGGCAAUACUCCCAAAUGGAUCUAAAGAAGCAGCAAACGGAAACACACAACCACCUCCAAUGACUCCCCCCUGCCAAUAACUGCUGCCAUCUAUUGAGAGCUUACUGUGUUCCCAAUGCCCUGUGCCCAACUUGUAGGGUCUCAGUUCAUUCAAUAACCCAACAGGAUUAUUGGAUUAAGCCCCGCCUCCUCCUCAGCCCCACACUCAGUGCCCUGCACAGUUAAGUCCCCGCUCGCCUUUCCUCUCUCAGUCCUUACUCAGCCUGUUUACCCAAGGGAUGGGGAUCUGGUACCUGGUACCUGCUGCCGGGAGAGGUUUGCUUCUAAAAGUUUACGUGCCCCCCGCCUCCAUGUGGAACAUG